rnacentral:lncRNA from 1 species
GGUAGUUUUUUUUAUAAAUCAGAAUAGAUCUAAAAUAUUUACGAUGGUAAUUAGAAUCUAUCAAAUUGAAGGUUAUCAGAUGUUUCUGAUUAUUGUCAUGUCUGGUAAGGAUUAACGCGAAGCUUCCUUUAGGGCACCUUAGUAAUAGUAAGCUAGAUUGUUGAGGGAAUGUGUACGCUGUACUAGAUCGGUAUCAAGCUGAGGCAUC